UCGGAUUGCAGUCUGCAACUCGACUGCAUGAAGCUGGAAUCGCUAGUAAUCGCGAGUCAGAAUGUCGCGGUGAAUACGUUCCCGGGUCUUGUACACACCGCCCGUCACACCAUGGGAGUCAGUGACGCCCGAAGCCAGUGACCCAACCUUAGGGAGGGAGCUGUCGAAGGCGGGACCGAUAACUGGGGUGAAGUCGUAACAAGGUAUC
rnacentral:rRNA from 1 species